UGUUGAAAUACCAGUUCCUGUACGAUCACUAAAGUUAAGAAAACGUCAAGCCUGGUCAGUACUUUGAUGGGUGAUCUCUUGAGAAUACCAGGGGCUGUAUG